rnacentral:rRNA from 1 species
GAUUCGGUGAUCCUAUGCUGUCGAGAAAAGCAUCGGCGUGAGGUUCUAGUUGCCCGUACCCUAAACCGACACAGGUGAUCAGGUAGAGAAUACUAAGGCGUUCGAGAGAAUCAUGGUUAAGGAACUCGGCAAAAUGCCCCCGUAACUUCGGGAGAAGGGGGACCUUGAGCGUGAACUGGGCUUGCUCCGGGGAGCGUGUAUGGGUCGCAGAGACCAGGGGGAAGCGACUGUUUAUCAAAAACACAGGUCCGUGCGAAGUCGCAAGACGAUGUAUACGGACUGACUCCUGCCCGGUGCUGGAAGGUUAAGAGGACUCGUUAGGCCCUUCGGGGUCGAAGCGGAGAAUUUAAGCCCCAGUAAACGGCGGUGGUAACUAUAACC